rnacentral:rRNA from 1 species
CACUGGUCGAGUGAUCCUGCGCCGAAGAUUUCCGGGGCUAAAACUUACUACCGAAGCUACGGCAUCAGUAAUGAUGGGUAGGGGAGCUUCCCAUACGGGUUGAAGCAUGACCGUAAGGACAUGUGGACAGUCUGGGAGUGAGAAUGUUGGCAUGAGUAGCGAGAUGUGGGUGAGAAUCCCACAGGCCGUAAACCCAAGGUUUCCAGGGGAAGGUUCGUCCGCCCUGGGUUAGUCGGGACCUAAGCUGAGGCCGAAAGGC